CGCAGUGGACGUCGUCCAGGAGGAUCAGACCGACGCCCUCCCCGAACAUCCCAUCCACUACGGCCUCAGUAUGACCCCUGAAAAGUUACAGCUCCUACCUGUAUCCCAGCUGUCUGCAAACCACCUCUGCAUGCUCCUGGCUCCAGUGGUCGUCACACACUGUCCCCCAGUCGCCAUUGUGAAACACCUCCACCCGACCCUCCCAGGGAGUGUCGCCUCCAACCAGACGCACCACGCCAUCUGAAACGUUGUCAAAAUCUUCACUGUGGUCACCAGAUGACAAAAAUAUGGAUUGACAUACCCGUAACCGAGCUGUCUGCACACCACCUCGGCGUCUCUGUCGUCCCACUGGUCGUCACAGACGGAGCCCCACCGGCCCGCGUGGAAAACCUCCACACGACCUUCGAAG